GAUGAACGCUGGCGGCGUGCCUAAUACAUGCAAGUCGAGCGAACAGACGAGGAGCUUGCUCCUCUGACGUUAGCGGCGGACGGGUGAGUAACACGUGGAUAACCUACCUAUCAGACUGGGAUAACUUCGGGAAACCGGAGCUAAUACCGGAUAAUAUAUUGAACCGCAUGGUUCAAUGGUGAAAGACGGUUUUGCUGUCACUUAUAGAUGGAUCCGCGCCGCAUUAUCUAGUUGGUAAGGUAACGGCUUACCAAGGCAACGAUGCGUAGCCGACCUGAGAGGGUGAUCGGCCACACUGGAACUGAGACACGGUCCAGACUCCUACGGGAGGCAGCAGUAGGGAAUCUUCCGCAAUGGGCGAAAGCCUGACGGAGCAACGCCGCGUGAGUGAUGAAGGUCUUCGGAUCGUAAAACUCUGUUAUUAGGGAAGAACAAAUGUGUAAGUAACUAUGCACGUCUUGACGGUACCUAAUCAGAAAGCCACGGCUAACUACGUG
rnacentral:rRNA from 1 species